UACGGAGGGGCUGAGCGUUGUUCGGAAUUACUGGGCGUAAAGCGCACGUAGGCGGCUUUGUAAGUUAGAGGUGAAAGCCUGGAGCUCAACUCCAGAAUUGCCUUUAAGACUGCAUCGCUUGAAUCGCGGAGAGGUGAGUGGAAUUCCGAGUGUAGAGGUGAAAUUCGUAGAUAUUCGGAAGAACACCAGUGGCGAAGGCGGCUCACUGGACGCGUAUUGACGCUGAGGUGCGAAAGCGUGGGAGCAAACAGG
rnacentral:rRNA from 1 species